rnacentral:rRNA from 1 species
UAUUGCACCAGAAGUAGGUAGCCUAACGCAAGAGGGCGCUUACCACGGUGUGGUCGAUGACUGGGGUGAAGUCGUAACAAGGUAGCCGUAGGGGAACCUGCGGCUGGAUCACCUCCUUAA